rnacentral:rRNA from 1 species
UUUUGUCCAAGGUUUUUUUAAAUUGUUGGGUUUUUUGGCUAUUCCAAGGGUUUGUUAUUAGGUUUUAAAUGAAUGGUUAAAGAAAGGGAAAUUUAAAAAAAAAUUUUUUUAAAAUUAAAAAUUAAUUUUUUUUUAAUUGGGCCAAAACCAUUUUUAUUUUUAAAAACCAGGAGGCCCUUAGAAUUUAAGAAUUUUCCAAUUAAAAAGUUUUUUUUUUAAAAUCUUGAUUGGGGCGAUCAAAAAAUAUUAAUAACUUUUUAAAAUUUAAAUUGAUCUAUUAUUAAUAAACUAAUGAAUUAAAUACUCUAGGGAUAACAGCGUAAUAAUUUUUGAUAGAUCUUAUUGACAAAAUAGUUUGCGACCUCGAUGUUGGAUUAGGAUUCUUUUUUAAUGAAGAAGUAAAAAAAGGAAGUUGGUCCAACCUUAACCGU